UCAACCGUCUCUAUACUCCACAUGUAUGUACUUACACAACCAAAACACAUGCUAUUUACGCACUCGCAUUUAAAUCAGCCUCAAAUUAAACUGGACAAAAAUAUAAUUGUAUCACGACAAUUGAUCACUCAUCUCAUCGUACGUAAGUCAACGAGUCCGUCAAAAAAAAACAAGAGGAUGGAGCUACAGCGAGCGAGUGAAUGGAUGACGAGCCAAGUUUUACUAGUAGGACGUAGUACUACGCUACAGCGCCGGCCGGGUAAGUAAAUGGGGAGCAAUUAAUUCAUCAUCAUCACCUGGACUGCUGGAGGGACGCGGGUACAGAAUUGGCCCUGUCAUUCUCUCAAUUCCUCCUCGCUGUCAGCGUCAGCUGCAGACGAGUAGCCAUUCAACACAGCACAGGUGGUGGCGUAAAGGCCUUUGCAGGGCCAGACGGCAGAGGACAGGCAGUAAGCAACCUGCUAGUGCUAGCUAGGACUAGGAGUGGUAGUAUUUGUUUGCAUGGAUCGCGCGCAUGCAGUCUCCGUCUGGCCGGCGAAUAGAUUCUUCGUCCCCGAUCGAUCAAGCUCAAUUCCAUGCGUGCAUAGCCGCUUGCGUUGUUGCCUCUGAGUCUCUGACUGACUGGUAUACCCAAUCCUCUUCAUCCCGUGGAAUGCGCGCAAGGGAAAAAAAAUGGAUCGUCGGAGCUGGAAGCCCUGGACUCACUGGAGUUGCUAUAGGAGCGAUCGAGGCGAGCGUCGGACGC
rnacentral:lncRNA from 7 species